UGUUGAAUCUCUGAUGAGCACUGAAUAUGUCAGAUUAAGUUAUGUCCUAGAAAGGGAGGAACCCUGAACAACUGCUAGUCACUUUAAAUUAUUCUGCAUUUCAAACAGGAAAUCUUCCAAUUAGACUAACAGCUGCAGAGAUUGGAAUAAACCUUACAUAUCAGAAAAUUAAAGAAAUGCAGCUGAGUACUAAGGAAAGGAGCUAAGUUAGAAGACUACUCUCAAGGCUAACAAGGUCGUUUACAUUCGAUUUGUGCUGGAUUCAGAAAAAAGGGGAGCACUCAAGGCCCAGAACCUUGAUGUUUGACAUGACGUGGUCUUGCACAGAGCAUAUUUUCACUGGGUCAACUUGGAGAAACUGCUGAAACUAAGAAACUAUCCUACAGAACCGGUUUUCCUUUCUUUCCUCAACU